AUACUUACUUGACAGGGGAGACACCAUGAUCAAGAAGGUGAUUCACCCAGGGUGGGACUCAGUCACUAUAAGGCACUAUGGUUGAGAUGACUCCUGCAAAUUCCAUUAAUGCGGGAAUCUCGACUGCAUAAUUUCUGAUAGCGUGAGACUGCGUUCGCACUCUCCCC